rnacentral:rRNA from 1 species
UCAAAGAUUAAGCCAUGCAUGUCUCAGUACAAGCCAAAWUAAGGUGAAACCGCGAAAGGCUCAUUAAAUCAGUUAUGGUUCCUUAGAUCGUACCCACAAUUACUUGGAUAACUGUGGUAAUUCUAGAGCUAAUACAUGCAAACAGAGCUCCGACCGGAGACGGAAGGAGUGCUUUUAUUAGAUCAAAACCAAUCGGUGGCGAGUUCGCUCGUUAUCGUACAACUUGGUGACUCUGAAUAACUUUACGCUGAUCGCACGGUCAUCGCACCGGCGACGCAUCUUUCAAAUGUCUGCCUUAUCAACUGUCGAUGGUAGGUUCUGCGCCUACCAUGGUUGUAACGGGUAACGGGGAAUCAGGGUUCGAUUCCGGAGAGGGAGCCUGAGAAACGGCUACCACAUCCAAGGAAGGCAGCAGGCGCGCAAAUUACCCACUCCCGGCACGGGGAGGUAGUGACGAAAAAUAACGAUACGGGACUCAUCCGAGGCCCCGUAAUCGGAAUGAGUACACUCUAAACCCUUUAACGAGGAUCAAUUGGAGGGCAAGUCUGGUGCCAGCAGCCG